rnacentral:tRNA from 1 species
GCGGAUGUGGCGGAAUUGGUAGACGCGCACGGUUCAGGUCCGUGUGGAUGCAAGUCCGUGGAGGUUCGAGUCCUCUCAUCCGCA